UACGGGGGGAGCAAGCGUUGUUCGGAUUACUGGGCGUAAAGGGCGCGUAGGCGGCCAGCACAAGUCAGUUGUGAAAUCUCCGAGCCUUAACUCGGAAAGGUCAACUGAUACUGUGCGGCUAGAGUGCAGAAGGGGCAACUGGAAUUCUUGGUGUAGCGGUGAAAUGCGUAGAUAUCGAGCGGAACACCAGUGGCGAAGGCGAGUCCCUGGACAAUUCCUGACACUGAGGCACGAAAGCUAGGGGAGCAAACAGG
rnacentral:rRNA from 1 species